rnacentral:rRNA from 1 species
AUUGAACGCUGGCGGCAGGCCUAACACAUGCAAGUCGAACGGUAACAGGAAGAAGCUUGCUUCUUUGCUGACGAGUGGCGGACGGGUGAGUAAUGUCUGGGAAACUGCCUGAUGGAGGGGGAUAACUACUGGAAACGGUAGCUAAUACCGCAUAACGUCGCAAGACCAAAGAGGGGGACCUUCGGGCCUCUUGCCAUCGGAUGUGCCCAGAUGGGAUUAGCUAGUAGGUGGGGUAACGGCUCACCUAGGCGACGAUCCCUAGCUGGUCUGAGAGGAUGACCGGCCACACUGGAACUGAGACACGGUCCAGACUCCUACGGGAGGCAGCAGUGGGGAAUAUUGCACAAUGGGCGCAAGCCUGAUGCAGCCAUGCCGCGUGUAUGAAGAAGGCCUUCGGGUUGUAAAGUACUUUCAGCGGGGAGGAAGGGAGUAAAGUUAAUACCUUGGCUCAUUGACGUUACCCGCAGAAGAAGCACCGGCUAACUCCGUG